rnacentral:rRNA from 1 species
GACGUAGGGGGCAAGCGUUAUUCGGAAUUAUUGGGCGUAAAGCGCUCGUAGGCGGGACUGGAAGUCCGUGUUGAAAGACCUCGGCUCAACUGAGGGACCGGCUCGGAUACUCUAGUUCUUGAGGCAAUCAGAGGGUGAUGGAAUUCCCGGUGUAGCGGUGAAAUGCGCAGAUAUCAGGAGGAACACCGAUGGCGAAGGCAGGUCUCUGGGCCACUAUUGACGCUGAGAAGCGAAAGCAUGGGGAGCGAACAGG